GACGAACGCUGGCGGCGUGCUUAACACAUGCAAGUCGAGCGGUAAGGCCCUUUCGGGGGUACGACGAGCGGCGAACGGGUGAGUAACACGUGGGUGACCUGCCCUCAGCUCUGGGAUAAGCCUGGGAAACCGGGUCUAAUACUGGAUAUGACUCCAUGACGCAUGUUGUGGGGUGGAAAGCCUUGUGCGGCUGAGGAUGGGCCCGCGGCCUAUCAGCUUGUUGGGUGGGGUGAGGCCUACCAAGGCGACGACGGGUAGCCGGCCUGAGAGGGCGACCGGCCACACUGGGACUGAGACACGGCCCAGACUCCUACGGGAGGCAGCAGUGGGGAAUCUUGCGCAAUGGGCGAAAGCCUGACGCAGCGACGCCGCGUGA
rnacentral:rRNA from 1 species